rnacentral:misc_RNA from 1 species
UCACUACUUGCGUAGGCAGUUUCAUUAGAGUCCCCAGCUUUACCUGAUGGCAACUAAUGAUAGGGGUUGCGCUCGUUAUGGGACUUAACCCGACACCUCACGGCACGAGCUGACGACAACCAUGCAGCACCUCGUAGACUGCCCCGAAGGGAAUUCCGCUUUCACGGAAAGUCAUUCUACGUUCUAGCCCAGGUAAGGUUCCUCGCGUAUCAUCGAAUUAAACCACAUGCUCCUCCGCUUGUGCGGGCCCCCGUCAAUUCCUUUGAGUUUCAAUCUUGCGAUCGUACUCCCCAGGUGGGUCACUUAAUGCUUUCGCUCAGACGCUGACUGUGUAUCGCCAACAUCGAGUGACCAUCGUUUACGGCGUGGACUAC